rnacentral:rRNA from 1 species
GUACACGCUGUGACUAGCAUAUCAAUAAGCGGAGGAAAAGAAACUAACAAGGAUUCCCUCAGUAACGGCGAGUGAAGCGGGAAGAGCUCAAAUUUGAAAUCUUGAAAGGUCACCUUUCACGAAUUGUAGUUUAAAGAAGUGUUUUCUGUUACGAUCGUAAUAUAAGUUCUUUGGAAUAGGACAUCACAGAGGGUGAGAAUCCCGUCUAUGAUUGCGAUUUGUAGCUUUGUGAUACACUUUCAAAGAGUCGGGUUGUUUGGGAAUGCAGCCCAAAACGGGAGGUAAAUUUCUUCUAAGGCUAAAUAUUGGCGAGAGACCGAUAGCGAACAAGUACCGUGAGGGAAAGAUGAAAAGAACUUUGAAAAGAGAGUUAAACAGUACGUGAAAUUGUCAAAAGGGAAGCGUUUGACACCAGUGUUGUUUUCUCGAAAAUCAAUUAAAAAUGGCUCGAUUUUGUAUUGCUUGAGACCUUAAAAGCUCACUGUACAUUUUUCGUGUCUUUUUUAAUGCACUUUUCGUUUAACAAGUCAACAUCCAGUUUCUUUUGUUGUAAAAGGGUCAUUGGAAGGUGGCUUUCUUUUCGGAGAAAGUGUUUAUAGCCUUUGGCCUCUGCAAUCGGAGAGACUGAGGUCUGCAGCGUAGACUCUUCGGGGUUAGAUACAUUUGUGCUAAGUUAUAGCUUUUUAUAGACAACUUGUUGACUAUAAUUAGUCUUGUAGCUUACUCGCUUAUGCUAUUUUACCUACGCUUAGGAUGUUGAGUAGCGACAUACGCAC